AGAGUUUGAUCCUGGCUCAGAUUGAACGCUGGCGGCAUGCUUUACACAUGCAAGUCGGACGGCAGCACAGAGAAGCUUGCUUCUUGGGUGGCGAGUGGCGAACGGGUGAGUAACAUAUCGGAACGUACCGAGCAGUGGGGGAUAACUAAUCGAAAGAUUAGCUAAUACCGCAUAUAUUCUGAGGAAGAAAGCAGGGGACCAUUUGGCCUUGCGCUGUUUGAGCGGCCGAUAUCUGAUUAGCUAGUUGGUGGGGUAAAGGCCUACCAAGGCGACGAUCAGUAGCGGGUCUGAGAGGAUGAUCCGCCACACUGGGACUGAGACACGGCCCAGACUCCUACGGGAGGCAGCAGUGGGGAAUUUUGGACAAUGGGCGCAAGCCUGAUCCAGCCAUGCCGCGUGUCUGAAGAAGGCCUUCGGGUUGUAAAGGACUUUUGUCAGGGAAGAAAAGGGCGGGGUUAAUACCCCUGUCUGAUGACGGUACCUGAAGAAUAAGCACCGGCUAACUACGUGCCAGCCGCCGCGGUAAU
rnacentral:rRNA from 1 species